rnacentral:rRNA from 1 species
AUGAACGCUGGCGGCGUGCUUAACACAUGCCAGUCGAACGGAAAGGCCCAAGCUUGCUUGGGUACUCGAGUGGCGAACGGGUGAGUAACACGUGGGUGAUCUGCCCUGCACUUCGGGAUAAGCCUGGGAAACUGGGUCUAAUACCGGAUAGGACGAUGGUUUGGAUGCCAUUGUGGAAAGUUUUUUCGGUGUGGGAUGAGCUCGCGGCCUAUCAGCUUGUUGGUGGGGUAAUGGCCUACCAAGGCGUCGACGGGUAGCCGGCCUGAGAGGGUGUACGGCCACAUUGGGACUGAGAUACGGCCCAGACUCCUACGGGAGGCAGCAGUGGGGAAUAUUGCACAAUGGGCGCAAGCCUGAUGCAGCGACGCCGCGUGGGGGAUGACGGCCUUCGGGUUGUAAACUCCUUUCGCUAGGGACGAAGCGUUUUGUGACGGUACCUGGAGAAGAAGCACCGGCUAACUACGUG